CAGCAGCCGCGGUAAUACCGGCGGCCCGAGUGGCGGUCACUUUUAUUGGGCUUAAAGCGUCCGUAGCCGGGUUGGGAAGUCCUCCGGGAAAUCUGGCCGCUUAACGGUCAGAAUGCCGGAGGAUACUCCCAGCCUAGGGAGCGGGAGAGGCCGAGGGUAUUCCCGGAGUAGGGGGGAAAUCCUAUAAUCCCGGGAGGACCACCCGGGGCGAAGGCGCUCGGCGGGAACGCGCCCGACGGUGAGGGGCGAAAGCCGGGGGAGCGAACCGGAUUAGAUACCCGGGUAGUCCCGGCUGUAAACGAUGCGGGCUAGCUGUUGGGUGGGCUUAGAGCCCACCCAGUGGCGCAGGGAAGCCGUUAAGCCCGCCGCCUGGGGAGUACGGCCGCAAGGCUGAAACUUAAAGGAAUUGGCGGG
rnacentral:rRNA from 1 species